rnacentral:misc_RNA from 1 species
GAAAUGCGAUACCUGGUGUGAAUUGCAGAAUCCCGCGAACCAUCGAGUCUUUGAACGCAAGUUGCGCCCGAGGCCACUCGGCCGAGGGCACGCCUGCCUGGGCGUCACGCCAAAACACGCUCCCAACCACCCUCAACGGGAUUCGGGAUGCGGCAUCUGGUCCCUCGUCUCUCAAGGGACGGUGGACCGAAGAUUGGGCUGCCGGCGUACCGCGCCGGACACAGCGCAUGGUGGGCGUCCUCGCUUUAUCAAUGCAGUGCAUCCGGCGCGCAGCUGGCAUUAUGGCCUUUGAACGACCCAACAAACGAAGCGCACGUCGCUUCGACCGCGACCCCAGGUCAGGCGGGACUACCCGCUGAGUUUAA